rfam:Asian citrus Psyllid, Diaphorina citri - Florida Strain, whole genome shotgun sequence.
GCCAGCGGCGACAGCACGUUAAAGGCAUCAUUUCCUAAUGGCUAACUGAAGUUAAGAAACCUUGCGCGUGGUUCGUAAUCGGAUGGGUGGUCAUCUUGCCAAUCUCAUGUGCUGCUGGCU